ACAGACGAGGAGCUUGCUCCUCUGACGUUAGCGGCGGACGGGUGAGUAACACGUGGAUAACCUACCUAUAAGACUGGGAUAACUUCGGGAAACCGGAGCUAAUACCGGAUAAUAUAUUGAACCGCAUGGUUCAAUAGUGAAAGACGGUUUUGCUGUCACUUAUAGAUGGAUCCGCGCCGCAUUAGCUAGUUGGUAAGGUAACGGCUUACCAAGGCAACGAUGCGUAGCCGACCUGAGAGGGUGAUCGGCCACACUGGAACUGAGACACGGUCCAGACUCCUACGGGAGGCAGCAGUAGGGAAUCUUCCGCAAUGGGCGAAAGCCUGACGGAGCAACGCCGCGUGAGUGAUGAAGGUCUUCGGAUCGUAA
rnacentral:rRNA from 1 species